AACGUUGUUCUAGCAAGUCGGAUACACUCAUGAUAUAACAAGGAUGUUACAAGGUUAACGACACAAGGUUGUAACAAUAUUGAUAUAUCAUGACUGUAUUGGACUUGUUGGAACAACCUU